rnacentral:rRNA from 1 species
UUCUCGAAUUAUAAAGAGCUAAUAUAAUAUAAAUUUAAUUGUGGCAUAAAUUUUUAAAAUAUUAUAUUAGAAAUGAAACGUUAUACGUUUUUUAAGAUAUCUAGUUUCUUAAGAAAUAAAUUUAAUUUAGUUUUUUUAUUGUAUUAUAUUAAUUAUUUAGUAUUUUAUAUAUAAAAAGUAAUAUUUUAGGGGAUAAGCUUUAAAAUAAAAUGUUAAAAAUGUAUAUUUUGAAUAAAAAUUAGUAGAAUUGGAAGUGUUAAUCUUUAGUUUGUUAUAAAUAAUUUUUGUUAGAAUAAGAUUUAUAUUAUUUUUAAGUAGUUUAUUAAGAUAAUAUAUGUAAUAUUGGUUUAUAUAGAAUAAUGAUAAAAUUAGUAUAUAUUUUAAUUUAGUAAUUAAAUUAAAACUUCAAGGUUAAAUUAAGGAACUCGGCAAAUACACUUUUCGCCUGUUUAUUAAAAACAUGUCUUUUUGAUUAUAAUUUAAAGUCUGACCUGCCCAAUGAGGAUUUGAAUGGCCGCGGUAAUUUGACCGUGCAAAGGUAGCAUAAUCAUUAGUUUUUUAAUUGAAAGCUGGAAUGAACGGUUGGACGAGAAAGUAACUGUCUCAAUUUAAUUGAAUAUAGAAUUUUAUUUAUAAGUAAAAAAGCUUAUAUAAUUUUAAAAGACGAGAAGACCCUAUAGAGUUUUAUAGUUUAAAUUAUUAUUUAAUUUUAGUAUAUUUAUAUAUUUAAUAAUUUAAACUAUUUUGCUGGGGCAGCAGAAAAAUUGAUUAAACUUUUUUUAUUUAAAAACAUUAAUUUAUGAUUGAAUGAUCCAUUUUUAAUGAUUACAAGAUUAAAUUACCUUAGGGAUAACAGCGUAAUUUUUUUUUAGAGUUCUUAUCGAAAAAAAAGUUUGCGACCUCGAUGUUGGAUUAAAAUUAACUUUUGGUGUAGGGGCUAAAAGGUUAGGUCUGUUCGACC